rnacentral:rRNA from 1 species
UACGUAGGGGGCGAGCGUUGUCCGAAGUUACUGGGCGUAAAGCGCGCGUAGGCGGUCCCUUAAGUCUGGUGUGAAAGGUUCAGGGCUCAACCCGAACAGGGCACUGGCGACUGGGGGACUUGAGUGCGGGAGAGGAGAGUGGAAUUCCGGGUGUAGCGGUGAAAUGCGUAGAUAUCCGGAGGAACACCGAUGGCGAAGGCAGCUCUCUGGCCUGCAACUGACGCUGAGGUGCGAAAGCGUGGGGAGCGAACGGG